rnacentral:misc_RNA from 1 species
GUGAAUCAUCGAAUUUUUGAACGCAAAUUGCACUCUCUUCGGAGAGUAAGCGUGUUUGAGGGUCAGCCUAUAAAAAAUCGACCUCGUUGUUGUUUCGCGGUGGCGUUGGUCGGAAAUGGGGUUAUCUUGAAUGUUAUUGGGUUUUAAGAGACUUAAAAUUUUCUUUUUGGUUUCAUGUAAUUUUCU